rnacentral:lncRNA from 1 species
GUUUAUACUUAAAAAUAUAUAUAAUUUCAUCAUAAACUAGAAAAUAGAAUGACAUAUAUAUUAUGAAGUAUUGAAACAUAAUGAAAACAUGGGGAGUAAACAUGUAAUGUGUGUUUAUUUAAGUGUUUCAUAAGUUUCUUACAAUUUAUUAGAAACAAUAAAAUGCAAAAGGAAAGUUAUCUAUUUUCUAUCCAAGUGAGUUGCAACCUAGACAGGUGUCUAGGCGAGUCUGGGCGGGCUUUCUUAAUUUUCAAACACUUAGGCAUUAAUCGGGACAGUGGCUAGCCGCCUAUGCGGCGCUAGGCGGAGAUUUUUAAAAUAGUGGUAUAAAGACGAAUCCUAACUCAUCUUUUCAUCUCCUUUCAUUUAGAGAAAGCUAAAAAAGAAAAAAAAAAGGACUUAGAAGAUGACUUUUUUUUUUAUUGAAGAGGUAGAAGGUGACGCUUCUAUGGAAGAGGUAGAAAAUUAUGUUUCCAUGGAAGAUGUAGAAGAAUAAUUUUGUGUGUGGGUUAUUUGAAUUUAUUGUUGUCGAAGUUUAUCCAUGAAUUUGGAUACCUAUGUGGUUUUCCAUUUGAAUUUGCAUACCUUGGUGGCUUUGAAUUUAUAUUUGAUUUUGCCUACUAUAUUACAAUUAAUAUUAGCACAUAUUUUUGCCACCAAAAUUUUCAUUUGAAUUCACAUACUUGUGUUCUUGAAACCUUUGAAAUGAUGGAUGUUCAAGCAGCAGGUUUAGAUACCUGAUACUCAUGAUGUUUUUUCCUUCAGAUUGCUCUAAUACUAUCUCAAUAGCAAAGCUAUAGCACCACAUCCUCCAGAUGCAUCGGUUACCUUGAGAUUUGCAGGGUUUUGUUUUGACGUCAGUGAAGACUUCACUUGCUCCUUCGACGCUAGGUGACAGUCGAGCGGCAAGCUGGGGCCUAGCGCCUAGGCGGCUAGAUGGAUUUAAAUAAAUCUAUUUUAUUUUCGUGUAAAUAAAUGUCUGUUUAUACUUAAAAUAUAUAUAAUUUCAUCAUAAACUAGAAAAUAGAAUGACAUAUAUAUUAUGAAGUAUUGGAACAUAAUGAAAACAUGGGAUGCUUUAUUUAAGUGUUCAAUAAGUCUCUUACAAUUUAUUGGAAACAAUAAAAUGCAAAAAGAAAGCUAUAUAUUUUCUAUCUAAGUGAGUUGCAACCUAGACAGGUGUCUAUGUGAGUUUAGGCGGGCUUU